rnacentral:misc_RNA from 1 species
GGGCUAACUGCAGGUUCCUCUUCUACAAUUGUCUGCAGCUCAGCAUUGUCCCAAUCUUCAGAAACUGUGAUCGUUUUAUUCGUUUCCCGUGUUUGAAGAAUUCGAUCAGGGCCUUGUUGCCACAAGAUAGUCUCAUCAUCUACUGUCAUAAUGAACUUGUAGCUUAUAGUUUUUCCACUCGGUAUAUCCAACUCGACGUUCCAUACAUGUCCCUCUGACCAUUCAAGUGGCACUGCAUUUGAUGGAUCCCAUAAACCGAGCAUUGGAUCAUCGCCCACUAAGUAGAAAUGCUGACCAAAGGAACAUUCCUUAUUCAAUUGAAAUUUUACGCGAACUGGUUUGUAUUGAUUUGUAUCAGUUGUUUCUGUUUCUUCACUCUGAUUAUGUAUCUGAGUGUCAGAAGCACAAAAAAUAGGUUGAAUAAUUUUGUGCUGAACAGAACAUGAGGUAAUAUGAACAAUCUUCAAACUUGACAAUCCAAG